rnacentral:rRNA from 1 species
GGAAUCUUCGGCAAUGGGGGCAACCCUGACCGAGCAACGCCGCGUGAGUGAAGAAGGUUUUCGGAUCGUAAAGCUCUGUUGUAAGAGAAGAACGUGUGUGAGAGUGGAAAGUUCACACAGUGACGGUAACUUACUAGAAAGGGACGGCUAACUACGUGCCAG